CUUUACUAUAUAAAUCCCAACUUUCCCAACUCUAAAUCCCCACUUUUUGUACCAUGGGAAUCAUUUAUUCUUAAGAAGACUGCAUGUAAUGUGUCAUAUUCCUUGUCUUUCCUUGUAGUCUGCCAGUGUUGUUCUACUACGUGUACAAAGUGCAGUAACUCUGUCACUAGCCCCACUGCAGGGCCCCGAUUUUUGGCCUGCCCACAUCAGGCCCCGUGUCGCCCAUUGUUGGCCCCUGUCUUACUGGUUUGCCCAUUGUUGGCCCCUGUCUUACUGGUUUGCCCAUUGUUGGCCCCUGUCUUACUGGUUUGCCCAUUGUUGGCCCGUGUCACCCAUUGUUGGCCCCUGUCUUACUGGUUUGCCCAUUGUUGGACCCUGUUUUAUGCAAUGACCAUUGGUCCCUGUGUUUGAUUACCUGAUUUCUACAGUGUUAUUGAUUAACUGAUAUCUACUGUGUUACUGCUUACCUGGUUUCAACGUUCUGUUUGGUAUCAAGUACCUGUCUAUCUAUUUGUGGUUCUGAGAGUUUCUCUGCUCUGUUCUAUCUCUCUCUCAUCAUAUCAGCUUAAAUUGCUCAACUAAAGUGCACACAUAAUUGCAAAACUGAUAAAUACUGUUGCUGACUCAGUCUUACUGUUGAGCUACUGUUUCUUGUCUACGAGGCACCUGGAUUCAAGUGGAGGAAGCUGCAAGCAGAAGCUCUCAUCUCAUCACUGCAACAACUGCCUGAACUUAACUGUGUUAAGACUUAACAUAAGACUAUAAUAACAUACGCCUAUAAUAGUAUAAAGGUUAUUCUGCUGGUAAGUGCAAAGAAUCUUAGAGGAUAUUAAGACUGUUGGUCUGAAUAUAAGUGAAAACUAUUACAAACACAGUUCGACUUAAUUUAUCCACUUGUGAUUCAUAUUAAAGAAAUAUUGUCAUUGUUCUCAAACUUUUCAGUUCAGUGAGGCUUUUCAGGUUUGUAGACUUGUUACAAUCUAAUAACUAUCCUGAAUUUAAUUUGAAUAUUAUUAGGUUAUUGGUCCCUGAUGUAAAAAGGUAAAUUAAAAUAAAGAAUAUAAAACCAAUGGUGAAUAGACCUUU
ensembl:lncRNA